rnacentral:Y_RNA from 1 species
GCAGCGAAUGCAGUGGGGACUACAUGUCGCGAGUUCGAAUCUCGCCAGGUACGCAUCGGCUCGUCCGGACGUGCUCUGUAGCUCAGAGGAUAGAGCAGUACUCGUCUCCACGACUUCUUGUCGCUGCGCG